CGGGGGGAGCAAGCGUUGUUCGGAUUUACUGGGCGUAAAGGGCGCGUAGGCGGCGCAACAAGUCACUUGUGAAAUCUCCGGGCUUAACCCGGAGCGGCCAAGUGAUACUGUCGUGCUAGAGUGCGGAAGGGGCAACUGGAAUUCUCGGUGUAGCGGUGAAAUGCGUAGAUAUCGAGAGGAACACCUGUGGCGAAGGCGGGUUGCUGGGCCGACACUGACGCUGAGGCGCGAAAGCUAGGGGAGCGAACGGGAUUAGAUACCCCGGUAGUCCUAGCCUUAAACGAUGGAUGCUUGGUGUCCGGGGUUACAUAGUCCCCGGGUGCCGUCGCUAACGCAUUAAGCAUCCCGCCUGGGGAGUACGGUCGCAAGACUG
rnacentral:rRNA from 1 species